GUAUAGAAUUCCGAAAGACGAUAAAAGCCAGAAGGUAUAAAUAUAUAUCGUUUUGGUGUGUGUGUGUGUGUGUGUAAGUGCUUCAAACAAGCGUUUUCUGUGGGUUCAGAAAACAAAAGAAAAAGAUGGGAGGGCCAUUUUUGAAGAGAAAUCCAGCAAACCACGUUCGACCAUACACGGACAGGGAAAUAAUACUGGAAUUUAUAAUCACUGGAAUUAUAACGAGUGUCGGACCGUCACUUGGUUGCGCACCUGGAGGUUUCUAUUGUGUUUCCUGUAUGUGCGGACUGGCUUGGACAUCCGAACGGCUUUCAAAGGAAAAAGGAUGAAAUUGAAUAAUGCGCUAACUUUCUAUGUGAAUAUACAUUUCGUCUUUGUAGAUGUCAGCCAUACACGAAUUGUAAAAAUC